GGUGGAGCGAUUAGAAGUGAGAAUGCCGGUAUGAGUAGCGAAAGACAGGUGAGAAUCCUGUCCACCGAAUGACUAAGGUUUCCUGGGGAAGGCUCGUCCUCCCAGGGUUAGUCGGGACCUAAGCUGAGGCCGAACGGCGUAGGCGAUGGUCAACAGGUUGAUAUUCCUGUACCAGUUUCUUUUGUUUGACCGAUGGAGGGACGCAGCAGGCUAAGAUAUGCCCACUGAUGGAUGUGGGUGCAAAUAAUAAGUCUGGCGAUGAGUCAAAUGCUUAUCGCUAAGGACAAGUUAUGACGCGGAGGGAAGUACAGUACCGAAGUAUCUGACGUCACACUGCCAAGAAAAGCUUCUAG
rnacentral:rRNA from 1 species